rnacentral:rRNA from 1 species
UACGUAGGGGGCAAGCGUUGUCCGGAAUUAUUGGGCGUAAAGAGCGCGUAGGCGGUCCGAUAAGUCGGCUGUGAAAGUCAGGGGCUCAACCCUUGGAAGCCGGCCGAUACUGUCGGACUAGAGUCCGGAAGAGGCGAGUGGAAUUCCCGGUGUAGCGGUGAAAUGCGCAGAUAUCGGGAGGAACACCAAUGGCGAAGGCAGCUCGCUGGGACGGUACUGACGCUGAGGCGCGAAAGCGUGGGGGAGCAAACAGGG